ACCUCAGUAGUUUAAAUAAAAACACUGGUCUUGUAAACCAGAAAUAGGAACAACUUCUAAGGUG
rnacentral:tRNA from 1 species